UAGCUCUUUAUUAGUACUAUAAACAAUAAGUUGUGGGUUUUAGUUGUUUUUAUAGAUUAUAUAGUAAUUGUGCUUAUAUGAAUAUAUAUUACUUUUACCUAUAUUAUAUUUCUAUACUAGUAAUAAGUUAUCGAAUGUUGGCAGGUACAUAAGCGUAUCGGGAGUCAAAUAAAGGGAAAUCGGCCUUUGGUAAAUUAAUGGACUAAACCCAUUAAUGUAAAUAAGCAAAAAGAAGAAAGAGGCAAAGAAAACUACUUUCUGUUGGACCAAAAUCCCACGCAGCAACAGGGAGAAGAAUAGGAAUUUGGGCUUUCAUAUAAAUCCACACUACAACAAAGAAGAAAAGGGAGCUGGAUGGGUUUUGGUUUUGUGGGCUGAAAUGGACGCAUCAUAGGGUUUUGAAGGGAGACACUGGACAAAGCAGCAGACGACGGAGGAGCACGCAGCAGACGACGGAGGAGCACGCAGCAGACGACGGAGGAGCACGCAGCAGACGAAGAAAAAGGGACGGGAGUUCGACGCUUCAAGUACUAUCAUGGCUCUCCUCCAAUCUCUCAAGAUAACAUUGAUGAACUUAAAGAGGUGUAUGGAUUACAUAGUCAGGGAUAAUCAACUCGGAGAACAGAUGAUGAAUGAGUUUUUACCAUAGUCCCUUCUUUGACGUACAUAUACAUUUAAGAUGUGAAUAUCAAUUUUUGGAUUUUGAUAUUGACAUCAUGUGGAUGUGGCUAUAGGCUAGAUUUGAUCUUUUUUAUGAUUUAGAAUAAUAUUGAUAUGAAUAUAUAGUAGUUUUUGGAAGUUUAGAAUUAUGAAUAUUGGUUGAAUUAUUUUGUGCUAUAAAGAAUUUUAGAAGUUUAUGGAAUGUCAUUUUCAAUUUA